rnacentral:rRNA from 1 species
UUUUAUUUACCGAGUGGCGGACGGGUGAGUAACGCGUGGGUAACCUGCCUCAUACAGGGGGAUAACGAUUGGAAACGAUUGCUAAUACCGCAUAAGCGCACAGUACCACAUGGUGCAGUGUGAAAAACUCCGGUGGUAUGAGAUGGACCCGCGUCUGAUUAGCUAGUUGGUGAGGUAACGGCCCACCAAGGCAACGAUCAGUAGCCGACCUGAGAGGGUGACCGGCCACAUUGGGACUGAGACACGGCCCAGACUCCUACGGGAGGCAGCAGUGGGGGAUAUUGCACAAUGGAGGAAACUCUGAUGCAGCGACGCCGCGUGAGUGAAGAAGUAUUUCGGUAUGUAAAGCUCUAUCAGCAGGGAAGAAAAUGACGGUACCUGACUAAGAAGCCCCGGCUAACUACGUGCCAGCAGCCGCGGUAAUACGUAGGGGGCAAGCGUUAUCCGGAUUUACUGGGUGUAAAGGGAGCGUAGACGGCGAUGCAAGUCUGAAGUGAAAUACCCGGGCUCAACCUGGGAACUGCUUUGGAAACUGUAUGGCUAGAGUGCUGGAGAGGUAAGCGGAAUUCCUAGUGUAGCGGUGAAAUGCGUAGAUAUUAGGAAGACACCAGUGGCGAAGGCGGCUUACUGGACAGUAACUGACGUUCAGGCUCGAAAGCGUGGGGAGCAAACAGG